rnacentral:rRNA from 1 species
UGGCGGCGUGCCUAACACAUGCAAGUCAACGAGAAAGGGGUAGCAAUACCCUGAGUAAAGUGGCGCACGGGUGAGUAACGCGUAGGUAAUCUGCCUUCUGGACGGGGACAACCCCGAGAAAUCGAGGCUAAUACCCGAUGAAAUAGCAGUAUCGCAUGGUAUUGCUAUCAAAGGUGAUUCGACUUGUCGGAUCAUGCCGGAAGAUGAGCCUGCGUCCCAUUAGGUAGUUGGUGAGGUAAAGGCUCACCAAGCCAACGAUGGGUAGCUGGUCUGAGAGGAUGAUCAGUCACACUGGAACUGAGACACGGUCCAGACUCCUACGGGAGGCAGCAGUGAGGAAUAUUGCGCAAUGGCCGAAAGGCUGACGCAGCGACGCCGCGUGGAGGAUGAAAUCCGUUAGGAUGUAAACUCCUUUUGUCGGGGAAGAACAGCCGCUUCUUGCGGAAAUGACGGUACCCGACGAAUAAGGAUCGGCUAACUACGUG